rnacentral:rRNA from 1 species
UACGUAGGGGGCUAGCGUUGUCCGGAAUCAUUGGGCGUAAAGAGCGUGUAGGCGGUCCGUUAAGUCGGCUGUGAAAGUCCAAGGCUCAACCUUGGGAUGCCGGUCGAUACUGCCGGACUAGAGUUCGGAAGAGGCGAGUGGAAUUCCCGGUGUAGCGGUGAAAUGCGCAGAUAUCGGGAGGAACACCUAUGGCGAAGGCAGCUCGCUGGGACGUUACUGACGCUGAGACGCGAAAGCGUGGGGAGCAAACAGG